rnacentral:rRNA from 1 species
AGAGUUUGAUCCUGGCUCAGGAUGAACGCUAGCUACAGGCUUAACACAUGCAAGUCGAGGGGCAGCAUGGUCUUAGCUUGCUAAGGCUGAUGGCGACCGGCGCACGGGUGAGUAACACGUAUCCAACCUGCCGUCUACUCUUGGCCAGCCUUCUGAAAGGAAGAUUAAUCCAGGAUGGGAUCAUGAGUUCACAUGUCCGCAUGAUUAAAGGUAUUUUCCGGUAGACGAUGGGGAUGCGUUCCAUUAGAUAGUAGGCGGGGUAACGGCCCACCUAGUCAACGAUGGAUAGGGGUUCUGAGAGGAAGGUCCCCCACAUUGGAACUGAGACACGGUCCAAACUCCUACGGGAGGCAGCAGUGAGGAAUAUUGGUCAAUGGGCGAUGGCCUGAACCAGCCAAGUAGCGUGAAGGAUGACUGCCCUAUGGGUUGUAAACUUCUUUUAUAAAGGAAUAAAGUCGGGUAUGCAUACCCGUUUGCAUGUACUUUAUGAAUAAGGAUCGGCUAACUCCGUGCCAGCAGCCGCGGUAAUACGGAGGAUCCGAGCGUUAUCCGGAUUUAUUGGGUUUAAAGGGAGCGUAGAUGGAUGUUUAAGUCAGUUGUGAAAGUUUGCGGCUCAACCGUAAAAUUGCAGUUGAUACUGGAUGUCUUGAGUGCAGUAGAGGCAGGCGGAAUUCGUGGUGUAGCGGUGAAAUGCUUAGAUAUCACGAAGAACUCCGAUUGCGAAGGCAGCACACUAAUCCGUAACUGACGUUCAUGCUCGAAAGUGUGGGUAUCAAACAGGAUUAGAUACCCUGGUAGUCCACACGGUAAACGAUGAAUACUCGCUGUUUGCGAUAUACGGCAAGCGGCCAAGCGAAAGCGUUAAGUAUUCCACCUGGGGAGUACGCCGGCAACGGUGAAACUCAAAGGAAU